rnacentral:tRNA from 1 species
AUUUAAGUAGCUUAAUUUAAAGCUAAACAUUGAAAAUGUUUAUAUACAAUUUUUUUUGUCUUAAAUA